rnacentral:lncRNA from 1 species
GAACCAAACCACCAAGCUAGCUAGCGUUUGUCUUUAAAAGAGUAGUGAACAAAAUUACAAAAAAAAAAAAGCUACUAGCGAGCUCGCUCCAUCACCGAGAGACGCAUGCUUGCUAUGUCCUGCUCGACAAGAGAACAGGGUUGUGGGGAUGAGAGGCAUCAGCAACUCGAUAAGGCCGAGAUUGCACAUGCCCUACUCACUGCGUUGGCAUGAGAUCGGAGUAGCGUUGCAAGAGCAAGCUGUUGUGAACUCUGUUGCCAUCACCAGCGACAAAUAGCUGCAAGGUCGAGCACAUGUAUAUAAAGCUUCUAUCUUAGAUCGGUUUUUUCAUGGUUACGUGCAACAAAUUGGGAGUCGUAAUGAAAUUAACAGGCCAUGUAACUAAAUUAAUUACACAUCUAUGUUGCAUAGUAAGGUGAUCACUCUAGGUAAAAGUGGUGAAUGAACUCUUUUGUGGGGUGGAUGAUAAUGGCUGGAAAGUUGUUUUAGUCUAGUUUGUUAGGUGAUGGAGCUCUUAGAUCGUGUGCUGGGAAGCGGCUGUUUUUCACAAACUGUUAUGUUUUCGAGUCAUUUCUAUCAAUGAAAAUGGG